rnacentral:rRNA from 1 species
UACAGAGGGUGCGAGCGUUGUUCGGAAUUAUUGGGCGUAAAGGGCGCGUAGGCGGUGCGGUAAGUCACCUGUGAAAACUCUGGGCUCAACUCAGAGCCUGCAGGCGAAACUCCCGUGCUGGAGUGUGGGAGAGGUGCGUGGAAUUCCCGGUGUAGCGGUGAAAUGCGUAGAUAUCGGGGAGGAACACCUGUGGCGAAAGCGGCGCACUGGACCACAACUGACGCUGAGGCGCGAAAGCUAGGGGAGCAAACAGG